rnacentral:rRNA from 1 species
UAAGACGAGGGAUCCUAGCGUUGUUCGGAAUCAUUGGGCGUAAAGCGGGUGCAUGUGGCUUUGUAAGUCAGGUGUGAAAGCCCAGGGCUUAACCCUGGAAGUGCAUUUGAUACUGCGAAGCUUGAGUGCUGGAGAGGUAAGUAGAAUUCCUGGUGUAGUGGUGAAAUACGUAGAUAUCAGGAGGAAUACCGGAGGCGAAGGCGGCUUACUGGCCAGACACUGACACUCAGACCCGAAAGCGUGGGGAUCAAACAGG